CUCAUUCCUUGUCAAGUUAGAACAGUUGGACCUUGGUGCUAAUGACCUGGAAUUACUGGUAACAAAAGGAGCAACACUAUGAACACGUCUACCAUUGCUGAUAGCGCUGCUAUAUCAUGUUGGGAUUGUCAGUGUUAACCAAAAGCUUUUAUUCAUGUCUGGCAGGAGGGGGAGAAAGACACAUUUCUACUGUGGGUCCAGCAUUUCCAAAACCUUGCUACUGGACAGUCCUUCCUGUUGUCUUCUAUGUUUCCUGUUGGGAGCUUCUGCAGCCAGUAUGCUAACCCAGACACUUCCAAACAUAUUUGCUGCAGUAUUGUGGCACACCAAAAUGUUAGUCUCAUAAACCAUUUGAUGAAUGGUUGUUGGAGGUGUGAAAGCAGUACCAUCGAGUUUUGCAGAGUUUUAGUGUGAUUUGGAAUAUCCUAGAGCAGUUUCUCCCCUGGAAAGGACUGACACUGCUACUGCUGUGACACUGCUACUGCCCUGCUCUGUUACAGCCAGAUAACUCUGGGAGUGCUACCAAACUUGUGCGAGCUUUGGUUAGACCAGAAUGAAGUCCUGUACCCAGCUGCACGCUGUAAUAGCAGAGAAGUCCGCAUCAGAUUCUGUGACAUUUUGUUCAUGUCCAGCUUGGGCUCUAGUGGUCUGAUAAAACACGUCAUUUGAACUGAUUCAAUCUUGAGGUAUGACACGUAUUCCUCUGAUUGUUAAAUGUCAUGCUCUGCAUGAGUGCUUUUUCUUCGGUAGGGCCUACAGCGCAGAGCAACCCCUCAUCCCAGCGAGCUGAAGGUUAUGAAGAAAGUUAUUGAAGUUCCGUGCAAUGAGGAGAAAGACUGAGUGCCACGUCAAAUCACAGUGAGGACUGCCACCUUUCUAACAGCACCACCUCUUGCUGACCUUAGGGCAGAGGAGCAGGGAAAAGAGGGACAAAGGAGCUGGCCAAAUGGGCAGCUGUCUGAGAUGCAGGAGCUGGGGAAGGUUGUAAAGCCAAAAGCUGAAGAGGAGCAUAAAGAAGCAGCUGUCCAAGAGGAGGAAGAUGUAGAAGUAGAAUACAAUGAGGUAGGAAUCUAGGAACUGCAUCAGGGUCAUGUUAAAAAGUGGAAGGAUUUGACAGUUUCUGAGAAAAUGAUAAAUGGAUUUACAGAGUAUGAUUUGGGCAUUGCUGGAGGCAAGUAAAGGCCCUGGAAGCUAACUGCAAGGAGAGAUUCAGGGAGCGUGGUGGAACAGGGUCCAUCAAAGACUAGGAAAAAUAGCAUGGGAAUGGGGCAGGGACUGUGCAAAAGUCAGGCUUACAGGUUUGAGUGCCCAUGAAGCUGACAGAUGUGUCUAGGUGAAGGAGUUAAUAUGGGAGAUGGGGCAAAAACAAGUAUAGGGAAAUUGGGGUAUGUAUUCCUGCAUCUUCUUUAACAUUAAAGCAGAAAUGCUGGCUUUGCAUGCGUUGGUAGUAGAGGGACAGCAGAUUUAUGUGCUGCCUGCAGCUAUGGCUGUUAUCUGAGGCUCGCAGCCUUUCUGGGGCUUUGCCAUUGCAGCCCACUGUACACUUUACUGAGGACACAUUAAUAAGGAGUGAAGAUGAGGAUGAAGAUGAAAAGUGACCAUUCCCAGUGGAGAAACAGAGGCUUAUCCACAAGGACACACCCCAUUAUAAGAAACACUUUUAAGAUAACUAAACUGCCCAAGCCGGAGGAAGUGGUGGCACUCCUGCAGGGGCUGAACAGUGAGGGAGUCCUAAAAGAGGAAGAGGAGCUGGGAAAUCACAAUAACAAUGCAGAACCUGAGGAUCGGGAGGAAGCAUGGGAUGAGGAUAACAGAAAAAGUGGAGCUUUAUCUGCUCAUCCACCAGUGCAGAUAAGGUCUUGAGGGGAUGGGGAAAGGUCAGAGGGGUGCCAGACCACCCUUCUGCUGCUUUGAACUACCAGCCAGGUUGAUGCAGUACAAAUGAAAAUGUUCUCAAGAGGCUCCAGCACUUCAGGAGAAACACGCUGAGGUCAGGAGAACUGAAGUUCUUUCUGGGGCUUAUACAAUUGUCCAACAGCUGUGCCAUGUUGCUUAUGUCUGACUUCUCAC